AGAAAAAUAAUAAUAAUAAUAACAACAACACCCAAAACUCUGUAUGGGUGCUUCCCAAAGCUGCACACUCAUUAAAGGAGGAUGGCCUGCCUCAAACACAGGAAGGUCCACCUUAUUAGGUCAAGGAUAUAGGAAUAGCUGUGAUUUUCUGCUAGAGCCUUCUAACAAGCUCUCAAGGGAUUUGCAUAAUUUUAUAGCAGGAAAGACAUAGUGAUCAUGUAUUGGCUUAUUUAACUUCUGU
rnacentral:snRNA from 1 species